rnacentral:rRNA from 1 species
GACUUGACAUCUCCUGAAUUACUCUUAAUCGAGGAAGUCCCUUCGGGGACAGGAAGACAGGUGGUGCAUGGUUGUCGUCAGCUCGUGUCGUGAGAUGUUGGGUUAAGUCCCGCAACGAGCGCAACCCUUAUUGUUAGUUGCUACUAUUAAGUUAAGCACUCUAACGAGACUGCCGCGGUUAACGUGGAGGAAGGUGGGGAUGACGUCAAAUCAUCAUGCCCCUUAUGUCUAGGGCUACACACGUGCUACAAUGGCUGGUACAACGAGCAGCAAACCCGCGAGGGGGAGCAAAACUUGAAAGCCAGUCCCAGUUCGGAUUGUAGGCUGAAACUCGCCUACAUGAAGUUGGAGUUGCUAGUAAUCGCGAAUCAGCAUGUCGCGGUGAAUACGUUCCCGGGUCUUGUACACACCGCCCGUCACACCAUGAGAGCCGGUAACACCCGAAGCCCGUGAGGUAACCGUAAGGAGCCAGCGGUCGAAGGUGGGAUUGGUGAUUGGGGUGAAGUCGUAACAAGGUAGCCGUAGGAGAACCUGCGGCUGGAGCACCUCCUUUCUAGGGA